GCCCCUGGGAAUUGGUUUCCUGUCAGAGCCUGUUGAUUUCUGAGCUCAGCCCUUUUCUUGUCAGCUAAUGGGUACAAAUUGAGGAAAUGGGCAGCAUGUUAGAGCAGUGUGAAUAAAGGAAGUUUUGCUAAAUGAGAUCUGUUAAUGGAGGGCAUCAGAUGGAAUAUUUUAGUGAUAUUGUCAAGGGAGAGGAAAGGACGGAGCAAGAAGGAAAAUGCCAAAGGACAGCAAGAACAAAAAGUCAGAGUCUAAGAAUGUUUUUUUCCAUUGCAUACAGAAGUAUCCAUGCAGAGCCCCAAAACACAUCAGUAGUAUGGUGAGGCAUUCUCUGAAGAUGCUGUUUAUCUGUGUGUAAAAAAGAAGGGACGAAAG